UACGUAGGUGGCAAGCGUUAUCCGGAUUUACUGGGUGUAAAGGGCGUGUAGGCGGCUCCGCAAGUCAGAUGUGAAAUUCCCAGGCUUAACCUGGGCGCUGCAUCUGAAACUGCGGAACUUGAGUACUGGAGAGGAUAGUGGAAUUCCUAGUGUAGCGGUAAAAUGCGUAGAUAUUAGGAGGAACACCGGUGGCGAAGGCGACUAUCUGGACAGUAACUGACGCUGAGGCGCGAAAGCGUGGGGAGCAAACAGG
rnacentral:rRNA from 2 species